UGAUGCCCUGACAGCCCUGGCCACACGCCAGACCGGAAGGAGGGAGCCAGAGCUUGGAUAUCUCUUGCUCACCUGUGGGUGAUGGAGCUUUGACGUGAAGUCAGGCAGUUCGAGGGUGUCAUGCAGACUGCUAUAAAUGGCUCUGCUGACUUCUGUGAGGUUAAAGCACUGCUGUGAGAGCUUCCGGCUAACAGGGAAAAUGUUUUCUCUUCCUACUGAGAAUUUUUGAUUUGUGUAUGUGGGUGCGCCCACAAAAGCUUUGUGUUAUUUGCUGUUCGUUGCUGCAUAAGGGUGAGAAAGGUCAAGGUUGCUUAUGAGCCUCUUUGAGAGAACAGCACGUGAAUCUGUAGCUCAACAGGCUAAAGAGAGGAAAACCUGUAGGACUCCAGGAUUUGAUCUUUGGAACCUCAGGCUUUAUGUACCAGAGCUUUCCUGGACCAGAUGCUCUCAGCAGGAGGGGUAUUCACCUGCUUAAAUUGUCCUGGAGCAUGAAAACGAUCCUGCAAACAGCAAAAACCUGUCAUUGAAAAUGUUAUGCAGAAAUGUCUUUCUGUCAAAAACACCCUCGGCUGAUACCUCCCUGUCCCAGGCUUUCAUCUCUCAUGUCUGGCAAACCCAAACUCUUAAAAACAAAACAAAAAAACGCACCUACUUCACACUUCUGUUAAACAGAAUAGCGUGAAGACUUUUCACACCUCCAUGCUUAUAAAUGAGCUGUACUGCACAAGCAAGAUCUAGGGAAGAUUUAGUAAUUUCCUCCCUGAGCUGACAUUUUAUUUCAGUAGCAUUUGCUGGCCACCGGACAGUUUUCAGCAGAUCAGGCAUGAGUCUGUCAGCCCUUGAAAGCCCCUCAUCCUGGAGGCACUAAAUGACCAGACGACACCUGUGGAUUGACUCAGGGCAAGGAGUGGUGCCAGCAGUGAAAGACGUGCUUCCUCAGGGCCUCUGGUCCAGCCGAGGAGAUAAUAUGGGCUCUACCUGGGGCUGCUGGACCCUCUGCUCCACCCUGCUGCUUGGUCUCUCCCAGGCACUUGUCCUCAAAGCCCCUCAGGAUUCGGUCAAUGGCACUGUGGGCCACUCCGUGCUCCUGCCCGUCUCCUACAAAUUCACAAACUCCUCUUGCUUCCCACUGUCGUUUCACUGGACGUUCAGUAACCGCUCGGACGCGCUCAUCACCUGCACGGUGCUGAACUGCUCCCUGAGCGCGGAGGGGGCUCCCAAGCACUGCUUUGCAAAGCAUUUCCCACACGCCGCGUACCGAGGUCGCGUUGUGCUUUUCCCUGAGAACGCGUCCCUGCUGCUCCGGGACCUGCAGCUCAGCGACGGCGGGGUGUACAGCGUCACCUUCAAGCAGCAGAUCCAAACCAGGCACAUCACCUUAACUGUGUACGGCAGGCAUCAUGGCACCCCCAGGGAUGCAGGUGCUGACAAUGACGCCAGAGGAGGGAGAUUUGGACAGAAAAUCCCUGUUAUUAUUGCUGGAUGCUUCUGUUUCACCUUGCUAAUUCUGCUGCUGUUCUGCUAUGCAUGGCACAGUGGAGCAGUUCAACAGCUGAUGAGAUUCAUAAAUCAACAGGUCCAAAGUCCUAGUGAGCCCUGGGAAAAAUGGUCAGAGGCAGAUCCGGAAAGGAUUUAUACAAAUGACAUCUACUUUGGGAAGAGGUAG
ensembl:lncRNA